rnacentral:rRNA from 1 species
GGAUUAGAUACCCUGGUAGUCCACGCUGUAAACGAUGAAAGCUAGAUGGGGGAGGAUUUAUCCUUCUGUGUCGCCGCUAACGCAUUAAGCUUUCCGCCUGAGGAGUACGGUCGCAAGAUUAAAACUUAAAGGAAUUGACGGGGACCCGCACAAGCGGUGGAGUAUGUGGUUUAAUUCGAAGCAACGCGCAGAACCUUACCAGCUCUUGACAUGGGACACAUACGAUUCAGAGAUGGAUUGGUCAGUUUGGCUGGUGUCCGCACAGGUGCUGCAUGGCUGUCGUCAGCUCGUGUUG